CUACGGGCGGCUGUAGUGGGGAAUAUUGCACAAUGGGGGAAACCCUGAUGCAGCAACGCCGCGUGGAGGAUGACACAUUUCGGUGCGUAAACUCCUUUUAUAGGUCAAGAUAAUGACGGUAGCCUAUGAAUAAGCGCCGGCUAACUCCGUGCCAGCAGCCGCGGUAAUACGGAGGGCGCAAGCGUUACUCGGAAUCACUGGGCGUAAAGAGCAUGUAGGCGGGUUAAUAAGUCAGAAGUGAAAUCCAAUAGCUCAACUAUUGAACUGCUUUUGAAACUGUUAACCUAGAGUGUGGGAGAGGUAGAUGGAAUUUCUGGUGUAGGGGUAAAAUCCGUAGAGAUCAGAAGGAAUACCGAUUGCGAAGGCGAUCUACUGGAACAUUACUGACGCUGAGAUGCGAAAGCGUGGGGAGCAAACAGGAUUAGAUACCCGGGUAGUC
rnacentral:rRNA from 1 species